AUGCACGCUGGCGGCGUGCCUAAUACAUGCAAGUCGAGCGAACAGACGAGGAGCUUGCCCCUCUGACGUUAGCGGCGGACGGGUGAGUAACACGUGGAUAACCUACCUAUAAGACUGGGAUAACUUCGGGAAACCGGAGCUAAUACCGGAUAAUAUAUUGAACCGCAUGGUUCAAUAGUGAAAGACGGUUUUGCUGUCACUUAUAGAUGGAUCCGCGCCGCAUUAGCUAGUUGGUAAGGUAACGGCUUACCAAGGCAACGAUGCGUAGCCGACCUGAGAGGGUGAUCGGCCACACUGGAACUGAGACACGGUCCAGACUCCUACGGGAGGCAGCAGUAGGGAAUCUUCCGCAAUGGGCGAAAGCUUGACGGAGCAACGCCGCGUGAGUGAUGAAGGUCUUCGGAUCGUAAAACUCUGUUAUUAGGGAAGAACAAAUGUGUAAGUAACUAUGCACGUCUUGACGGUACCUAAUCAGAAAGCCACGGCUAACUACGUG
rnacentral:rRNA from 1 species